rnacentral:tRNA from 1 species
GGUGGCUCAGUGGUAGAGCGCUAGCCUUGCAUGCAUGAAGCCCUGGGUUCGAUUCCCUAGCACCA